AAUCAACGCUGGCGGCGUGCCUAACACAUGCAAGUCGAACGCGAAAGCCCCUUCGGGGGCAAGUAGAGUGGCGUCCGGGUGAGUAACACGUGGGUAAUCUACCUCCGGGUGGGGAAUAACUCGCCGAAAGGCGGGCUAAUACCGCAUAAUGCAGCGGCACCGAAUGGUGAUUAGUUGUUAAAGCGGGGGACCUUAGGGCCUCGCGUCUGGAGAGGAGCCUGCGGCAGAUUAGCUUGUUGGUAGGGAAUGGCCUACCAAGGCUGCGAUCUGUAGCUGGUCUGAGAGGACGGCCAGCCACACUGGCACUGACACACGGGCCAGACUCCUACGGGAGGCAGCAGUGGGGAAUUUUGGGCAAUGGGCGAAAGCCUGACCCAGCAACGCCGCGUGAAGGAGGAAAUCCUUCGGGAUGUAAACUUCACAAGCAAGGGAAGAGCGCGCAGGGUCGAAUAAACUCUGCGUCCGACGGUACCUUGCGUAAGCCACGGCUAACUACGUGCCAGCAGCCGC
rnacentral:rRNA from 1 species